AUCCAUCUGACGAGUACCAAAUAGGACGAAACGCGCGUCCUGGAU
rfam:Schistosoma mansoni strain Puerto Rico chromosome 4, complete genome